UGAGCAUGAUCAGCUGAGAAUAAGGUAAGAAUAAAAAUAUAUAUAUAUUUGCAUAAAAAUCAAGUGCUUAUCUGAUUUUGUUGCUAUAUGGGGGCAUGUUGAUGAUGAUCUCAGCUAAAAUAGCUUACAGGAGUUAGGGUUCUCCAUCCCACAAAAACCUUUGUCUUGACUAGAAAUGAUAUAUAUAUAUAUUUUUUAAAUACACUAAUUAUUUUAUGGACAACAUUCUUAUAAGUGUCCUGGAAUUAAAUAGCUCGAGAUCAUUGGAAGUGGGGAAAAAAAAUAAUGAUCUCUGAGAAAACUUUGAUAUCUGCAAAGUCAUGGUGGGAACAUGUCACAUUGUCACUGCCAUUGUUGUGUUGGCUUUAGCAUUCAAUCA
rnacentral:misc_RNA from 1 species